rnacentral:rRNA from 1 species
CCCUUAGAUGUUCUGGGCGGCCCGCGCACUACAAUGGCGCUUUCAGCGAGUUCCUAUGUUGAAUUUUCCUGGGUAUUCUUGGAAGCGGCGUCUUGACUUGGGAUAGAUCCUUGUAAUUGUUGGUUUUGAACGAGGAAUUCCUUGUAAUCGCGGUUGAUCAGCUAGCGUUGAAUACGUCCCUGCCCUUUGUACACACCGCCCGUCGCUCCUACCGAUGAAUCGUCCGGUGAAGUUCACAGAGUGGCGGUUCGUGGAGUUGCUCGCGAAGUGAAAUGGACCUCACGAUUUAGAGGAAGGAGAAGUCGUAACA